rnacentral:rRNA from 1 species
GUCUGUACCGUAUGACUGAAGAUGGUAAUAUGGGGGGCGAUAGCGUUGUGCGGAAUGUUGGAGCGUCGAGAGCGCGUAGUGGGUGUGAUGGGUUUUCUGUGGAAGUCAGUGGCUUAUUCCCUGGUCUGCCGUGUGUACGGGCAUACUUGAGUGCAGUAGGGGAGACUGGAAUUCCUGGUGUAGCGGUGAAAUGCGCAGAUAUCAGGAGGAACGCCGAUGGCGAAGGCAGGUCUCUGGGCUGUAACUGACGCUGAGGAGCGAAAGCAUGGGGAGCGAACAGGAUUAGAUACCCGGGUAUUC